UUUAAUUCCAACAAAAAUGAUUUACAAAAGCAUUUGUAAAUUUAGUUAUUAAAUUUAUAUGCAUUGCAUAUUUAUUUAAUUUAGCAUUCAAGCAUUUUCACGAGCUUUUAAUUAGCAAACCCUGAAGUAGUAUUACAGUUUCGACAAUUUUAUCCUGAGGGAUUUAAAUUGUCCAAUCAUAGCCGCCCACCCUAUGCCUCAUAGCCGCCCACUCUACAGCCCAAUUCCAGCCCCAAAAGUCAGGCUGUAUAAUCCCAACUUUUCUACCAAAUCAAAUGCGCCAUAUUAAUUUGACAUUUUCCACAACUACUUUUUCCUAUCUAUGCUACCAUGCCUUAAAAGUAGCCUCUCUUUCAAAACUUAACAUCACUACCCACUCCCACCACCAACUCCCUGCAAAAGCCAUGCCUAAAGCUCUCUACUCCUCUGCUUAAUCCAAGCACAACCCUCUCAGUUUAGCAUCCUCACCAUUCAACAGAACUCCUUCUCACAUAAAAAAAAAAAAAGAGAAAAGACUCAAGUGCAAAAAUCGAUUCAGUGAGGUCCAGUUUUACAGUAGCAAAUCAAACACCAAACUUCAACCAAGAUCAGAUGACAACAACGCAGCCUGACCCAAGUUUCUUAAGCAGCCAAACCAUUCCAGUUUCCAGCCGCACAAACCCAACCGAUUCUAUUAAAGGUUACACCUUUAACUCAUCUUGUAUAUCAAGCAAUUGAAUAGAAUGUCACUCACUUCUUAUACACAUGCAUGAUAUAUUUUAGUUCCACAAAUCUAUCAGCAAGCUUUCAUCUUUCAUAUAUUCGUGUAUAUAUAAUUAGUUGGGCUUUUGUUUUAAUUUUCAAUUGGGCCAUUAAUUUUCAAUUGGGCUCAGUUAAUUAAAAAGAAUGUUGGACCUUCAAUUAUUUAAAAUUGUGGGCGGCCUCCUAUUAAUUAAAUGGACUAUACUUAUAUUAAUUAAUUGAACUAUUAAAUAGUUUAAUUUAAUUAUUUAGAGAGUAAUUUGCAUAAUAAUAUUACCAUAUUUUAAGUAAUUUCUUAUUAUAUGCCAAGCAUGACAUGAAAUUGCAUUAUAUUUUUGCAAUAAGAGUAUUUAAGAUUCAAUUGGUUUUAUUUAUAAUUCCAAUUAUUAAAGAAAUAUGAGUAAGAAUAUUGUUGGUGUUCUUAACUCAAGAGAAAUGUUUUCAAUUAUUUAUUCAUUAAAUUUUGGAAACCCGGCGUGAUGAAUCAAGUAUGUUUAGUACAUUCACUAAGACUUUAAGUUAGCUUCACGAGACCUAUUAAGAAUAGAAUUUUGUAGGCUUUGUGACCAAGGGGAUUAGCGCUGCUUUCCCAAGACGAGUUUAUGUGAUUAUGAUCUUCAGGCUUUGCCUAUCCAGGUGGGCAUUACUUUUACUAUACGUAUAUAGAGAUCCCCUGCGUGUCGUAGGCCUCUUAUACGAAUAUAUGCAUGAGAUGAUUUUAACUGUUAAUUUCAGUUUAUUAUUAUGCCCAAAUGAUAAAUGACUCUUAUGAAAUGAAAAUGAAAUGUUCAUGAAAUGAAAUGAAAUGUUUAUGAAAUGAUUGACUGCCAAAAAUGUUUAUGUUUUUAUAUGUAUCCUAUCUGUGUUGGUUCGCCAACUUUUAAAGGAAAUCCAAUUGGGAUCCUAUGCUAGACAAAGGUCGCUAGCUAGGGUUAACGUGUACACUCAUGGAGACCGCGAGUCGCUUGCGACCGGUCUUGGCGUCCGUGGUAAGGAGGCCUCCUUCCCGGCGCGUGACAGAAAGGAACAGAUAUGGAUCAUAUGAAGGAAAAUGAUCGGCCGAUCGACUUUAUGAAAAUGAAAGAAAUGUUUUAGUAAGCGCAGGUCUUUCAAGAAAACCCCUGUGUGUUACUGUUAUGGCAGUUCAAUUUAUAUAUGUAUGCAUGUUGUAUUUUCGGCUAUGCCCACUGAGUAUUUUUAUACUCAGCCCUGCAUGUAUUUCUAAAUGUGCAGGUUGAGCAGUUGAUGGAAUGGAAUGAUGUUGAGCGGGUGUUCCUUUGACAUUUCAAGAAAUGUAACCUU
rnacentral:lncRNA from 1 species